AGUGAACGCUGGCGGUAGGCCUAACACAUGCAGGUCGAACGGCAGCACAGUAAGAGCUUGCUCUUACGGGUGGCGAGUGGCGGACGGGUGAGGAAUACAUCGGAAUCUACUUUUUCGUGGGGGAUAACGUAGGGAAACUUACGCUAAUACCGCAUACGACCUACGGGUGAAAGCAGGGGAUCUUCGGACCUUGCGCGAUUGAAUGAGCCGAUGUCGGAUUAGCUAGUUGGCGGGGUAAAGGCCCACCAAGGCGACGAUCCGUAGCUGGUCUGAGGGGAUGAUCAGCCACACUGGAACUGAGACACGGUCCAGACUCCUACGGGAGGCAGCAGUGGGGAAUAUUGGACAAUGGGCGCAAGCCUGAUCCAGCCAUACCGCGUGGGUGAAGAAGGCCUUCGGGUUGUAAAGCCCUUUUGUUGGGAAAGAAAAGCAGCAGGUUAAUACCCCGCUGUUCUGACGGUACCCAAAGAAUAAGCACCGGCUAACUUCGUG
rnacentral:rRNA from 1 species